AACGAACGCUGGCGGCGUGCCUAACACAUGCAAGUCGAACGAGAAAGGGGCUUCGGCUCCGAGUAAAGUGGCGCACGGGUGAGUAACACGUAGGUAACCUGCCUCUAAGAUUGGGAUAACCUGUCGAAAGACGAGCUAAUACCGAAUAAGACCACGGCUUCCUCGGAAGCAGGGGUCAAAGGUAGCCUCUACUUGUAAGCUAUCACUUGGAGAUGGGCCUGCGUACCAUUAGCUAGUGGUGGGGUAACGGCCUACCAAGGCAAAGAUGGUUAGCUGGUCUGAGAGGAUGAUCAGCCACACUGGAACUGAGACACGGUCCAGACUCCUACGGGAGGCAGCAGUGGGGAAUAUUGCGCAAUGGGCGAAAGCCUGACGCAGCAACGCCGCGUGAGU
rnacentral:rRNA from 1 species